rnacentral:rRNA from 1 species
GACAGCAGUAGCCACGGGAAUACAGAGGGUGCGAGCGUUAAUCGGAUUUACUGGGCGUAAAGCGUGCGUAGGCGGCUUUUUAAGUCGGAUGUGAAAUCCCUGAGCUUAACUUAGGAAUUGCAUUCGAUACUGGGAAGCUAGAGUAUGGGAGAGGAUGGUAGAAUUCCAGGUGUAGCGGUGAAAUGCGUAGAGAUCUGGAGGAAUACCGAUGGCGAAGGCAGCCAUCUGGCCUAAUACUGACGCUGAGGUACGAAAGCAUGGGGAGCAAACAGGAUUAGAUACCCGCGUAGUCCCUGUCUCUUAUAC